UUAUAUUCUUUCUAGUUUGCAUUUUGUACACAUUAAUUAUACUAGCAUGUUCCAGAUUAUUAUUGACCUUGGCCUGUCCAACCCAUCUUCGGCCCAGCAUGCCAAAUAUUUGAUCCACAUGAAAGAAGUAAAUAAUCUCUGUUUAGCAAAAAAACAAUACUGGAGUGCACAACUACAAAAUUCUGAUCAAAAUAACAUAUUAAAAUUACAAAUCAGUCACACUGGACAUUUAGAUACACAUAAUAUGUGUAUCGUGUUGACAGUAGUAUCACUGUGCUAUCCAAGUGGAGUAACCCUUCUAAACCAAACUCAAGUGUCUUUUGUUCUAUCUCAAUUACCUGCAAAAGAAUAGCAGAAAAAAAUGUGAGAACUAUCGACAUGAGAAAUCUAUUAUGGGAAUCAUUCAGACAAACCUCUAUUUAAAAUGACAGUAAUUAGCUCACCCGCAAAAAAAUGACAAGUGCAAGGAACAAUAUACAGCAACAUCAGAUAUUUCAAUUAACAUGCACAUUUUAGCAGCAGGCAGAAAAGGAUUUGGCAUGCAGAAAGAACACAAAAAUAGAUCAAAUAUAUAUAUUAAGAGUGAGAUGGUUGGUGGAAUAUCUAUCCUGGAAAAUUAGGGCAUCAAUCAGUUACUAUAUGUGGAUAGAACAAAUCUUUACUAAGAUCGUUGAAAUAAAUGUCCUACUGAAACAAAGAACAUGAAAUAUUAUUAAAUAUGUAUAUUUCAGUCAACAUGUCUGUCGUGAAGCAUAUUUUCAGUCUUCCACUAAUAUCAAAAUGACACAUGCAUACCUAGAAAUCACUAUAAGCAUUUUAUAAAAAAAAUCAAGUAACAUGACUACCAUUAAAAUAUGCGCCACUAGCUGAUUUUAAUGUCCAACAAUACACCACCAAUGCUUUCAGGAAGCUAUUCAGACCCAAGUAAUUCCUGCUAAAAACUUGCAUAAAGUACAAAACACAUACAAAACUAUAUAAGUAAUACAGCGAGCUCCGAAAUAAAUCCAGAGUAACUAGUCAUCUAUCUACAUGUGCACAACAAGAAAAAUGGGUGCACCACAAAAUAAAUGUUAUCUUCUUCAUUAGAUUUUUCAAGAUUGUUGCCUUUUCAAGUCGCUAAGUAGCAGUUAAGUACAUUGCAAUUAUAUGAUUUUGGCACAAAGCAUUGCACAGGAAUUAGAGCACUAAGAGUUUUGAUUCAUUGUACAAAAAAAUAAGAUUUGACACAGCACAUGGAACUUCAAGCGGCUUGUUUGUCAUUUCGCUUCUUUGUCAAGUAUUUUAGGUACCUAUAGAAGGAGACAGGGAGGUAGAAUUUGCUUGUAUGAUGUAUCUAGAGAUUAAAUUGUACAGCUACAUGUGUGGGCAGUCGAGAGCUACAUGAAAGUUUAUUAUCCAAUAACCAGAAAUCAUAUAGGUUGAAAACUGCAUAGCUAAAACAAGCCCAUUAACUAUAAACAAUAAAUGUCAUAUUUAUAUGAAAAGAAAUUGGCGGAAAGAAAACAGAAAAUACUCUCCUUAUUCUUGAAUUUGAAAGCUUUUUGACCUCUAUAGUAAUCAUUUCAGUAAGUAUAGGACCAGAAUCAUGAACUGAAUUUUUAGUUGGAAGAACAAGCAUUGAAUUACGUGUAUUUUCAGUCAAGCUUACUUCCAGAAAACAUUGAGCCCUAGCAGAACAUAAGGGCAAAUAGAUGCUUGAGUAAAGUGUAUGAAUAACAUAAAGGGCAUGUUCAGGAAAGGGAUGUGCAGAUAUCAUCACCAAGUAAAAAAAUGUUUCUAGUCCAUGUGAGAUAUUCAAAUUAUGCAGGCAAGGGCAGUGCAGAUAUCAUCACCAAGUGAAAAAUGUUUUUAGCUGUACAAAGACCAUUAGAUGCACUGACCGGUGUGGGAUCCAUCACCAUUAUGUGCAUGCAGAAACAUUGGACACUGCAGUAAAAUGUACCUACAGAAUCUGCAAAUAUGAGUUUUUCUUCAGUUAGAUAUAAAAUGGUAUGAGUUUCUUAAUACUAAAAGCUGACAGGAUAAAUCUUGCAGGCCAUUACUCUGAAUUAUAAGUGUACAACUACAAAACAAUGCUUGAACUGCAACAAGAACAGAGAUUUGCCUAAUACUUUUUGUUUGCAGUACAAAAAAUGAAUGUGCUUCACAAUGUGACUAGAAAGGAACAAAGCACAAACAAUCAGUAAUGAACGAGUAACCCUCAGUGGUGCUUCUGCCCUUGCUGUUCGUUUUAAUGUCGAACAAGGCAGACGCCCAGAUGUUUUCUCUGUACUGGUUCAACAUGGCCAACGAGGCCUCCAGCCAUCCUUUAACAGGUACGGCUGGAUCAAUCCAUGGCCGGUGUUCUGCCCCAAGUGUUUUGCUCGUCCUGGUGGUACUCUGUACUCCU
rnacentral:lncRNA from 1 species